rnacentral:misc_RNA from 1 species
CAACAACAAAAAUGGCUAUGGCAGUGACAACUGACAACUGACAAGUUUUCUGUAUGAAUUUGUUCAAUAUUUUAGUGUUAAUGCAUUGUACAAUUUUUGAUUAAAAUUGAACAAAUUAACAAGUACGUGUAAAGAUGAAUGAUAUAACAAUUACAACUGUCGAAUAAAAUCAUCUGAUACCUUUCAACUUUUCCAAAAAAUAAAAAUGUCUGAGGGAAGAUUUCCAUCUUAUCAUCAUUUACCCCCAGCGGCCCCAGCACCUCAAAGACAUCAUCUGGCAACUGCUGCAACACCUUCUGUUCCUCAUCCACUUACAUUCCAUCCUCCUGCAAUUUCUCAUCGGCUAUCUUCGUGGUUUACUAAACAAGAUAUGGCCGCUUACAGAAAUACACCAUAUGCUUCUUUGCACAAUAUUGCUGCAUUACAGAUGCACAAACCCCAACAUACUCCUGUAAUUGAUAGGUGGAUGGAUUCAAGAAAUAAUAUGCCGCCACCAUCUAGACCUGAUCCACCAUCUCCUAGUCCAGCUCAUUCCGCGAAUGUAUCACCUAGUUUUUCACUAUCUCGAACUGUUGAGAUUGAUCUUACUAAACAUAAAAAAGAAUCUGAGCAAAUGUCUAUUGACUUGUCUUCAAAUAAUAAAAAUUAUGAAAGCUUUUCUUUUAAACGAGCAAGAGAUCAAGUAAAUGGUCAAAUAAAUUUAUCUAAAAUAGGAAAUAUUGAAGAGAAGGCAAUAAGUGUUAUAGCACCAAACCCUCAUAAAGUUAUUAAGUCUGAAAUCAGAUGUGAUGCCCCAGAUUAUAUACAUAUUCAAAAAGUAAAAAAUGUUAAUAAUGAAGGUUAUGAAAACAAAUGUAGUAAAAAUGAUAUUAAGAUUACUUGGGAUGUGGUAGAUAGUCCUAUAAAAAUUGAAGUUGAAGAUACAAAUAAUGUUGAAAAAAUGUUGGAAAACAUAUUUCAAACUAAUGAGUCUGAAAAGCAAUCUGUUAUUAAAAUUAUAAAACCAAGAAAAUCACCAUCACCAUCAAUGAUGAGGGCAGAAUCUGUAGAAAAAAUACUUAAAUCACCAUCUCCUAUACCUAGAAUAGAACAUGAUAAAUCUGAGGAUUCUAUACCAUCUGAAAAUUCUUCAAAAAAAAUUCAUGACACACAUUCUCAAUUCCUCGAAGUAGAAAACAAAUUAGAAGAAUUAUUUGGUGGAGUCAUUACAUCAACUAGUAUACCUGAUCAACAAAUAGUGAUUGAUAAUAAAUUAAAACCAAUAAUUUCUACAAAAAGGCCUUAUAAUAAAAAUAAGAAACAAUUAAAAAAAGUAAAAAAAAGCCUACCCAUAUCUGAAAAAUUAAAACCGGCUGUUGAACAACCUUUUAAAAAAUAUAAAGGGCCAUUAAUAAGAGUCAAUGGUGGUAAUAUAGAAAAUCCAAGAAGUUUUGUUAUAAUUAACCGAAAUGUUCAAGAUGAUGAGGACUCAUUAGAUGGUCGAAAUAUUAAUCGAAAGACUUAUUCAUAUAAGUCUGGUGUUUGCAAUGGUGAAGAAAAACCCGAUGUGAGCAAUUUAGAAAGUAGUGAUUGGAAAUGUGUAUUCUGUUCGCGAGGACCUCACGUAAGAGACAUUGGUUAUGAUCCUACUGGAGAUCUUUUUGGUCCCUAUUAUGUCAGUAUACCAAAGGUUGUAAAACCAAAUGAUAACCCUAAGCGAAAGAAAUCUAAGCAUAAUUUAAAUGAUAAUGAUACUUCAGAAACAUUUAUUGAGGUAUGGACUCAUGAAAAUUGUUUAGUUUGGGCGUCUGGUGUUUAUAUGGUUGGGGAUAAAAUUGUUGGGUUGGAAGAUAGUGUGAGAAUUGCAAAAAAUACUAUCUGUGUUUAUUGUGGUGUUAUUGGGGCUAGUAUUGGAUGUACAGCACGUCACUGCAAAUCAAGUAUACAUUAUAACUGUGCAAUACAUGUUGGUUGGCUUCUAGAUAGCCAGAAUCAUAUGACUACAUGUAAUGUUCAUAGGAAUUCUCUCCUUGGAAGUAGUUGUCAUUAAUGGAGCUUUCUUGCUUCAUUCAUUAUUAUAUUCAAAAAAAUAGGCUUUCUGAGUUUUUUUAUUAUCGUAUAUAAUAUUGUAUUAUGGUUAGAAGAUCAUCAACCUUGUUAUGAACUUCCAAGAAUUGACCAUUAAUUUUAUAAAGUAAAGAAGAUGAACUAAUGAAAUCAUUGCAGUAAUCAACAAGAAAAUUUAUCUAACUAAAUAAUAUUUCAAUUAUGCCUAUUAUUUUAGAGCUGAAAGAAACAAAAUUGCUCUAUCAUAGACCAUAUACUGUGCCACAUUUUGGUGCAUAAACUAUAUAAGUACAUGAACAAAAUAAGUCGUGUCCAUGAAUAUAUUUUAAUCAAGUUUUGUAUGUAUUGUAUUAUUUUAUUGAUUUAUUUUUUACAUUAUUCUUCAUUGUUUUGAUUUUAUAUAACUGUAUACGUUAGGAGGAAAAUACAUAAUGGUAUUUGUCAAUAUUUUUACAGAUGAUAUUAUCUAUUAUAUACUAUUAUAAUUGCAGAUAUUAAGUUAGUAUUUAAAUUUCUUAAGAUAUUAUGAUCUAAAUAAAUAUCUGUUGGACUGUGAUGAUUGAUGAGUAAUAUACUUGGUCUUGAAUGUAAGAAUUAAGGCUGGGGUUUUGAUGUACUUUGCAUUAUUUUUUCCGAUUCUAGCUACACGAUGCUAAUUUUAUAACAUACAUAUUUAAUUUGUUUUUGAAUCAGAAUGAGAAGUUUUUAUUUUGCACUUUUUGACAAUUUUAAAUUUCAAGAUAAAUUUUUUUCAUUUUUAGAGCAUUUUAGGAUUUUUUAAGUAUUGAAAUCCAAAAUUUGAAUUUAAGAUUUUUACAUGCUUUUUUAAAAUUUUUAUACAAAUUUAACAAACUAACUACAUCCAAGUAAAUAAUUAUAUAAUUUGAACCUUUAAAAAAAAAAAAUUGUUUUUCCAAAUUAAAGAAGUCCAAAACGAUCAGUUAUAUCUCUUAUACUUUUUACAAUCCUUUAAAAUGUGUUUUGUUGUUCAAACCAAAAUUACUAAAAAAUAAAAAAAAUUGCAGUUUUCAAGUGCAUUAUUCAGAAUUUUCAUGGCAUUAUUUGGGUUUUUUAGGGCAUUAAAAUCCCAGCCCUAGUAAUAAUGAUAUUCGAAUAACAAUUUAAAAAAUGUCAGCUUGAAAUAGUAAAUUUUCAUUUUAUCAUUGAUAAAUAAUUACUUAAAUAACUUCAUUGAAAAGCAAGGUGAUUAGUUUUUACUUAAAAAAAUACUGUUAUAUUCUAAAAUGUUAUUGUAAUUUUAUAAAAUUAAAUAGUUUUAUUAGAUUCCUAAUUUUAUGUACCUACAUUAAUUACAGAAUAGAAUAAAAAUUAAAUAGUA